CUGAGAUGGAAAUUAGAGGUCAGGGUGUUGAUUAAGGGGAUCAGCGCCUGGGGAGGGAGAAGAAGGACGCAGACGAGGAGGAGGAAGCCUUUGAGCUGCCGUGGGAGCCUGACAAUAGCUCUGGAGGGCCCGGGAGCUAGAAUGACCCUUCAGAGUUGCCUCCUUGGUCAGAGAACUUCAACUAUUGAUACAUUCUGGACUGAAAACACAAGUUUGGGACUGACAUGUACACACUGCUAUAUUUAAAAUGGAUAACCAACAAGGACCUGCUGUACAGCACAGGGAACUCUGCUCGGUGUUAUGUAACAACCUACUUGGGAAAAGAAUUUGAAAAAGAAUAGAUACUUGUAUAUCUGUAUCACUUGAUUAGAACUGAAUCACUUUGCUGUACACCUGAAACUCCAAUAUAAAAUAAAGAGUUAUAGAAAAAGGAAAAAAACCAGGAGAGAUGGAGAGAAACAGUCUGCUGGUACUCUGCUGGUUCUUCAGAGGAAUCAUCUUCUUUUACAGAUGGAACUGGCUGAAGUGACAGCACAAGUUAGUGAGCGAGCAGAAAGACUCGGACUUGAAAAGCUUGUGGAAGGAAAUGCAGGUCUCCCGGCAGGUGCUUGGCACUUCUCUGUGAACAGGUAACAGGGAAGUGUCAGGUCUUCAAGCUAAGGGAGCAAACGGCAGGACCAGAGCCUCCCUCCCUCCCUGUCUGGAGGAAUCAGCAGAUUGCACACCUGCUACUGCAUGGCCGCCUCUGCCAAGCCCAGCGGCACAGCUGUGAGACACUCUGCUCCUGGCAGGCUGCUCUAAGCUCUGCCUGUCCUUGGGGAUGGAGCCCCUCCCAAGGCAAGUUCAACCAGGUUCUUUGGCAGCCGAAGUCUGCACAGAUCCUGCAGGGAGUGAUGGAGAAAAAGGUUUGGAUCCAGGGAAUCUUCAGAGAAGUAUGAAACCCUCCUGCCAAGACACCAAUUUAACAAUUUGGUCAGUGACAAAAGGGCAUCCUGUUUAACGAGCCUGAGUUUCAAUAGCCUGUGUCUGCCGCAUUGGUUUACAGGACUGUUUUCUUUAACCUGUGAAUUUGGGGUUUGGUUUCUGAGUUUGGACAGAAUCAAAAUGCUUUCCUUUGAUAGAAAGCAAGGAAGCGAGCAGGUCCUACGAAGCUGAAGGGGCUGCUCGCUGGGCACGGGCAGCAAACCUCCCCACGAGCACUGGACAUCCUCGAGUGGACAGCUCUUCCUAGGAGACACGUUUGCUCAGGGCCUUUGGCGAAAAUUCCCUCACGUGUCGUAGCCUGGGGUUCAGAUAUCCUGUCGAUGCGACAGAAUCCGUGGGCUGUAGGUUUUAACCAGGAAUUAUGAUCAAAGAGAAGCCUUUGUAAAUGUGAUUGGAAAAGUUGCAUAUUUUGAAUUUUUGUCUUUUGUGGAGAGAUCUCACCUUGGACAGAACUUUUAGGACCCAUCCCAACGUCCCUCUAGUUUUCUGUUCACCUUAGUCUACAGCAGAAUGGGAAAAAGUUACUCAUAAAGGGAAGUUUAAAAACAGUCUAUUAUGCACACAAUACAUAUGUGGAUCUAUCUGGAGGAGAGACAUCCGACAAAUGAGGCUGGCACCAGAAUGUGUGCUACGAGAGUCUGUAAGAGAUGAACGGGGGCAUCUUCCUGCCUUCAGAUGGCAUACGAGGCAGAGACAACUUUCACCAAUUUUCAACUCUCAGAAAAGUAGAUUCCGUGAUCUCUUACAGUUUCCUACCCCACUCUCUAAUUGCUUUCCUGCUUUGGCAAUUUUUCUUUCAAUUAAGCCGUUUGGCCGUACUGCCAAGCCAAUUCCUCCUGUAUAAUUGACGUGGAGAGCGGACAGCUGCUUCUCAAUGGUUGGUCACAGUUGUAUUUCAAUUCUCUUUUUAACAGCUGGGAAACGGAAUUCCUAUUCAGGAUUUUGUAACAGUCGACUAAAAGCAGAGAGUCUGUUCUCCUGUGAUUCUUGUGUUCUACUUCCUUUCCGGAACGUGUACCUUUCUGCACACCCCUUGACUAUCCUCACCGUACGUGUGAUUCCAACUAAAUCUGAUGUCUGCUAAUGAAACCUCAAAUAUUUAAGGUUCUCUGGUCCAAUUCUCCAUGAGUCAAAAGAGAAAGUUAUCCCACUUCAAACCACUUAACAAUUAAGUGAAGAAAGCCUUUUAAUACCCAAGCAUUUAUUUUGACAUAAUCCCCUUUCCCACAUUUCUUCGUAGCUGCUAAUGAGUCAUACAAACAACUGCAAUGGGAAAAAUUCAAGCAUGCAAAAAAUUAUAGAUACUAAUGAGCUAAUUUGCAUGAAAACCGUUAGAAAAACUAUAGACAUGUUUGAUUUAUAGCAGCUUAAAACAAAGAGGGACAGGAAAGAUUAAUUAAUCUAAAUCUAGUUCCUCUCAGUUUUGCAGGAAAAAAAACAAGCUAGAGUGGUAAAGUAAUUUUUUUUUUUGAGUCAGAUAACUAGUCUCUGGUGUAGCUCAGAUAACCUAGAGCUCAGUUCUCCAUUUUGGUAGCGUCCUUGGUCUUUGACAAAUGGUCGUUUGAAAUCAGAACAAGGAAGAUUCUGGAACAUUGGAAGGGAAACUAAAACAACUGUAUCUUGUCGUUCUGCUGGCUGGAAUACUCCCCCUGCUCUCUAGAUCAGACUGCAGUUCCAUCUGGUAGAGAUUUGUACAUUGACUGUAAUACUGGUUCACCUCUAAAGUUCAAGUCUUUCCAGGAGGCACCCAUUUGACACUAUUUAGGCUCUUAUACACAGUAUGAACUGUCUGGGAGUAGGUUUUGAUAGAGUGAGAAGAGGAGACACUGAGGAGUCUCUUAAAUGCCAUUUAAUGUAAACGUAAUGUAACGCUAUGAACGUGUAUUGGUUAUCUCCUUCUGCUGUGGCAAACCACUGCAAACCUGGUGGGUUAAAUAGUACAAGUUCAUUAUCCUGUAGUUGGUAGGUUGGAAGUCUGGGAUGGGUUUCACUGAGCUAAAACCAAGAUGUCGGCCGCCCUGCAUCCCCUUCUCCAGACUUUAGGGGAGAAUCCGCUUUCUUGUCUUUUCCAGGUUGCAGGUCUACAUCCCUUCCUCCGUCUUCAAAGCCAGUAGUAGUGAGUCAAGUCCUAACACUGCCUCACCCCGACUUAAGGGCCCACCCAUGUAACCCAGGACCAUCUCCUUAUUUAAGGUCAGCUGACAGGCCAACCUAAACUCCAUCUGCGACCUUGAUUUCCCUCUGCCGUGUGUCCUAGCGUACGCACAGGCUCCAGCAAAGAAAACAAAACCAAGCAAGUCUCAAAGCCUCACCUGAGGAAAAGUGACUCCCCACUCACUUCAGGUGUCUCUGCUGGGCCUGUCUUCCUGGGGACUGUUCAGGGACCCCAGGCUCCUUCCAUCUCUGGGUCCACCAUCCUACAGAACUUCACCGUCUUCUCCAUCCCGUUCCCAUGUGCAGAAAGAGAGGGAGGCUCUCGUCAGUGUCAUUUAAUGGGUCAGGCAUGGAAACAGUGUAGGUUAUUUCCACCUGCAUUCCCUUGGCAGUACUCAAGUAUGUGGCUAUGAGACAAGCUGGGACCUGGGACCUGGGACCGUUUGCUGCAGUGCUUGCACCUGGGCAAACACCUCACUGAGCAACAAAAUACAAAGAAACUAUGAGAGACUAAAAAUAACUGCGUGCAUGUGCAGUUGGGGCAAAUCCUGGAUAAGAAGACACAGAAAGACCAAAAACCCAAUGGCCACUUCUGAAGAGCCAGGAGCAGAAGCAGGGUCCUGGACACACCCCCUGCACAUGGCAUCACCGAAGGGGUAGGCAGACCACCGGAGCCACCCCUCCAGCCUGACCCCUGGACACACCCUUACCUUCACUCCAUACAAGGAACCAGCACGUCCUGCCUUAGGGAGCGAGCAAGGGGACCUGUUACUUGUUUUCACUCCUGCCUGCUGCAGCAGGGGCCCCGGUAAAGCCUUGCCUGAAUUUCUCGUCUGGCCUCUAGUCAAUUUCUAUUGAUUAAGGAGGCCAAGAACCCUGGCCGGUAACAGACACACCUAAGAGCAAUGGAAGUCAGGAAACGGAGCCUAUCUGUGUGCUUGGGAAAGAUAGGAAAUACCCGAUGAAGAGCUCAUCAGCCUCUGCCCAGUCUGCUCCUAGUCCCCAAACAUCCAUUCCAUCCUCCUACUACAUCCAGAACACAUCUGUCCUUCCAGAACGUAGAACACCCAAGGUCACCCCCAGUCAUUGUCUCAAGUUCAAAUCCCAGAUCCUUGGGUGAUGUUGAGACCUAGGCACCAGAACUGGAGAAGAUUCCUUGACCCUAUGAACUCUGUGAACUUACACACACACACCAUCCAAUGGCGAUAUAUGGACAGGAAAACAUAGGUUUAAACUCUUGUUUGGAAAAGGAAGGAAUGAAAGACACACAGCUGUUAACUGCUCCACAGCGAUUUUGAAAUUCCUCUAGACAGAUGCUACAGGAGCACCUGACUCUCUGGGUGGGGAAAGUUCUUCAUCUCACCUUGAACUGUGCUCUCCUAGAACCUCCCUUUCCGGUGUUCUCCACAGCUCUGGCCUCAGGCCUCUGGGAGGUCCUUCUUUGUCCAAAACCCCCAUGGCCUUAAUAAAAUAGGUGUUGGAGACUGUACUUGGCCCUGGUGAAGUCAGAGGACCCAGCACUGACCUUAAAGCUUAUGAAGUCAGUCUUUUUAGACCAGGCUCCUGAUAUCCUUAGUGAUAUAAUUGUCUCCAAAAUUAGCAUGCUUUAUAAUCUUUUUAUUUCUAGGUAAUUCCAUGUGCCAGUAACUGCAUUUGAAGUUUUUUCAUAGCAAUAUUUCUCAAGUGUGAUUUUUUAAUUUGCUUCCUCCAAGCCAAUCUCAUCCUCUUCAAAGCCAUCAGAAACUGUAUGAUUAAAGAAC